GCUGGGCAUGGUGGUGCAUGCCUGUAAUCACAGUAGCUCAGGAGGCUGAGGUAGAAGCAUCGCACGAGUUCAAAGUCAGCCUCGGCAAAAGCAAGGCACUAAGCAACUCAGUGAGACCCUGUCUCUA
rnacentral:sRNA from 1 species